rnacentral:lncRNA from 1 species
AGACUUUGUAUAAAUUUUGUUUAUCUUAAUGUCAGGAAAGUCAGGCAGUAUGUUGAAACCAUAUCAACGUUAUACCAAACCAGGCUUUACUUGGUAAACUAACAGUUUAAGGCCUGCAUCAACAUCAUGAGAUUGACUUGUUGACAUCGUAGAUCAUCGUACUUUAAUAAAGUUGAGAAAAGAUUCAUUUCGUGCAUAUUGUUACCGGCCGCUGAGUUUUUGAAAUGAACAACUUAUCUGUUUGGUCAUAUCGAUUUUCUUUCAUAAUUUUCCUUUCAUUCAUUAAUACAGUUAUCGUUAUGUGUUUUGUUUCUUUUUUUGUCAAAAGGGGGGGGGGGCUUGCUCUUUUAAUUUUAUCAAAGGCAUGCGUAAUUUUUAGGACUUAUGGUUCUCAAUUUCUGAUUUGCAGUGAAGGUUCAACCUCUUCAUGACUUUACAUAUUUCAAAUCUGCAGUUCCUUAGGAAAAUGAUUAUUUAUGAUUACUAUAUUAGUAUUACAUAUAUAUAUAGUAAUAUACAUGUAUCUAUGCUUAGGGGGAAAAGGGGGCGACCAUUUGCUAUUCUAGGUGGUGGGAAUUCGAAGAGAAUCCUGGUGUGUUUGUACUAGUAUUUGUCUGUCCUAGGUGCUUUACCUUUAUAUCCAUUCAACAGUAGGCCUAGAUAUGUUCAUCUUUUUUUUUGUUAUUUUGUUUAAUGUAAAUUAUUUGAAUGAAGUAUGUAAAAGUUUGUUGCCAACUUUUUUUGAUAAACC